GUGGAGCACAAGGAAACAAUGAACAAUGAACAAUACUGUUUAGAUCUUUGGCUGAUAUCUGAUUCACCCAGGUUCCUAUCACUACCAUCCCCCAAUGUCUACGUGCUGGGGGCUUCCCCUCCUUUAGGAGAUGUCUCUUCUCUUCUUAUCCCAUUGGAACCUGCGGAAUAGCGUGCGUUUGCUGUAAAUGGCCGUUCUCGGAGUAAGUGAUGGCAGCAGAGAAUGUCAAUGCAGGAUCUCUGGGAAUCUGGCAGACAACACCGUACACUUCUAAAAUCCUUGGAUGCUUUUAAUCUGGGCUGUAAACAAUCUCACAAGCUGGAAAAAAUCCACAAGGGAGCCCUUGUGUCAC